rnacentral:rRNA from 1 species
GAUGAACGCUGGCGGCGUGCCUAAUACAUGCAAGUCGAGCGAACAGACGAGGAGCUUGCUCCUCUGACGUUAGCGGCGGACGGGUGAGUAACACGUGGAUAACCUACCUAUUAGACUGGGAUAACUUCGGGAAACCGGAGCUAAUACCGGAUAAUAUAUUGAACCGCAUGGUUCAAUAGUGAAAGACGGUUUUGCUGUCACUUAUAGAUGGAUCCGCGCCGCAUUAGCUAGUUGGUAAGGUAACGGCUUACCAAGGCGACGAUGCGUAGCCGACCUGAUAGGGUGAGCGGCCGCACUGGAACUGAGACACGGUCCAGACGCCUACGGGAGGCAGCAGUAGGGAAUCUUCCGCAAUGGGCGAAAGCCUGACGGAGCAACGCCGCGUGAGUGAUGAAGGUCUUCGGAUCGUAAAACUCUGUUAUUAGGGAAGAACAAAUGUGUAAGUAACUAUGCACGUCUUGACGGUACCUAAUCAGAAAGCCACGGCUAACUACGUG